GAUGAACGCUGGCGGCGUGCCUAAUACAUGCAAGUCGAGCGAACAGACGAGGAGCUUGCUCCUCUGACGUUAGCGGCGGACGGGUGAGUAACACGUGGAUAACCUACCUAUAAGACUGGGAUAACUUCGGGAAACCGGAGCUAAUACCGGAUAACGUCGCAAGACCAAAGAGGGGGACCUUCGGGCCUCUUGCCAUCGGAUGUGCCCAGAUGGGAUUAGCUAGUAGGUGGGGUAACGGCUCACCUAGGCGACGAUCCCUAGCUGGUCUGAGAGGAUGACCAGCCACACUGGAACUGAGACACGGUCCAGACUCCUACGGGAGGCAGCAGUGGGGAAUAUUGCACAAUGGGCGCAAGCCUGAUGCAGCCAUGCCGCGUGUAUGAAGAAGGCCUUCGGGUUGUAAAGUACUUUCAGCGGGGAGGAAGGGAGUAAAGUUAAUACCUUUGCUCAUUGACGUUACCCGCAGAAGAAGCACCGGCUAACUCCGUG
rnacentral:rRNA from 1 species